AGCGAACGCUGGCGGCAGGCCUAACACAUGCAAGUCGAACGAACCUUUCGGGGUUAGUGGCGGACGGGUGAGUAACACGUGGGAACGUGCCUUUAGGUUCGGAAUAACUCAGGGAAACUUGUGCUAAUACCGAAUGUGCCCUUCGGGGGAAAGAUUUAUCGCCUUUAGAGCGGCCCGCGUCUGAUUAGCUAGUUGGUUGAGGUAAUGGCUCACCAAGGCGACGAGCAGUAGCUGGUCUGAGAGGAUGAUCAGCCACAUUGGGACUGAGACACGGCCCAAACUCCGACGGGAGGCAGCAGUGGGGAAUCUUGCGCAAUGGGCGAAAGCCUGACGCAGCCAUGCCGCGUGAAUGAUGAAGGUCUUAGGAUUGUAAAAUUCUUUCACCGGGGACGAUAAUGACGGUACCCGGAGAAGAAGCCCCGGCUAACUUCGUG
rnacentral:rRNA from 1 species